CAAGGAAUGAAAAAAACAUGAACAAUUCUUCCAACUUGGAAUCAAUGCCUAUAAAUACAUCAGUGAAAAUCCAUCUUCUGUUCACAAACUGUUGCCUCUAACUUAAUCUUCCUCUAAUGAAAUCCCAGAAAUGCCUCCAAGAAUUUGAAGAAUCUUUCUUGUAUUCAUAAUGUUCUUCCAAGCCAUUUGACACAGUCAAGUGACACCAUGUCAAGCUUCCUUAGACCUGGAAAAAUCCAACCCGGAGCUUUCUCCGGCUUCUGACCAUUAUUCUCUGAGGAAGUUUCUGACCAUUAUUCUCUGAGGAAGUUUCGAUUUUGACCUCCAGAUCCUUGAGGCUGUGGACUCGAUGAAGGAAACUCUUUCAUGAUUUUCGAGGUAUGAUUUAAGUCUACAUCCUCUUGACAAGCCAGACACGUUUCUUUUGAAUUCUGGUAUUUUUCACACGUCUUCCAAUUUGGCGUACCAUUGCGUGGAAUUAUGACCAUAUGAUCCCGUAUCACGUAGAAUAUCCAUCCCCUACGUGCCAAAAUAACGCUUCUUCCCUCGUAACAGUGAUCUUGUAUGUCUUGCAAUUUUGCUAGAAGUCACUUGGUUGAGAGAAUAUGAGAUUAUAGCUUCAAGAUAUAUUCUGGACGCCUAUGGGGUAGGUUAAAAAGGCUUAAGAAAUCGGUUCAUGAUACAAGUUUCAUCGCAAUUCUAGUAUAAAAAUCGUUUAGCCUAACAUGCUAAGAAGAAGAAGAAGAAGGAAAAAAAAAAAAAAAAAAAAGUUCAUCACCCAGAGAUCCUCGCAGCAGAUUUUCAAUCAUCCCAAACAUCUCAAAUUUCCGAAGGACCAAAUCUCAAUCUCAAAUCGCCCCAUUCUUCACCCUUCAUAGGCAAAAUAUUGAAGUUUCGGCGCAUUGAUGAUGAGCUUAACAAUUUGACACUGAUAAAUAUGCAAUUCAGUGAGUGUCUCCUUGGAAAUUUUAAGUUCCAGCCCUCCCUUCCAUGAUUGAAGAUGUAAUUUUUCAAGUACGGGGCAACCGGAAAUUAUCUUUUCCAAUGUCACGCAACCCAUCAGUGUAUUUCUUAAAACUAGUUCUCGAAGUGAAGGCAGACCCAAAGAAACUGAAAUUUCUAUAAAACAGAAGUGGCCAAUCUCCAAUUUUGUGAUUGAUUUUGCAGUAAAGGUCGCAACACUCAAUGCAGGAGGGACUAUAGGAUAGUGUCCUUUCGAGUUAAUAAUGCUCAAUUCUUUCACAUUUCUUCUCAGGGCUAAUCCUAUCCAGUUCCAAACAAUAUUUCUGAAGUCGAUAUUAUCGGCUAUCGCUCAUAAGCAUGCAGAC
rnacentral:lncRNA from 1 species